rnacentral:rRNA from 1 species
UGUGUCAGUCCCAGUGUGACUGGUCGUCCUCUCAGACCAGCUAGUGAUCGAUCCCUUGGUAGGCCUUUACCCCCCCAACUAGCUAAUCAGAUAUCGGCCGCUCCACGAGCAUGAGGUCUUGCGAUCCCCCACUUUCAUCCGUAGAUCGUAUGCGGUAUUAGCUAAUCUUUCGCCUAGUUAUCCCCCACUCCAGGGCACGUUCCGAUAUGUUAAUUCAACCCAAUUUCGGAG